rnacentral:rRNA from 1 species
GUAGGGAAUAUUGCGCAAUGGGCGAAAGCCUGACGCAGCGACGCCGCGUGAGUGAUGAAGGCCUUCGGGUCGUAAAGCUCUGUUGCACGGGACAAAGAAAGUGAUGGUACCGUGCGAGGAAGGACCGGCUAACUUCGUGCCAGCAGCCGCGGUAAGACGAGGGGUCCUAGCGUUGCUCGGAAUCAUUGGGCGUAAAGCGUGUGUAGGUGGCUUUUUAAGUCAGGUGUGAAAUCCCCGGGCUCAACCUGGGAAGUGCAUUUGAUACUGAUUAGCUUGAGUAUGGGAGAGGAUAGUAGAAUUCCUGGUGUAGUGGUGAAAUACGUAGAUAUCAGGAGGAAUACCGGUGGCGAAGGCGGCUAUCUGGCCCUAUACUGACACUGAGACACGAAAGCGUGGGGAGCAAACAGGAUUAGAUACCCCUGUAGUCC